CCUGGAUGUUUUCAACUACAAACCAGGAAACAGCAGAGAAACUUAAGGAGAAGCACCAGGAGGAACGUAAACCGGCACAGAUGAAGCUAUUAGGCCAAAAGCUUUCAGCUACCACAACCCAGGAAACAGCAAAGCAGAAAGACUGGGUCAAUCAAAAACUAUCACAGGUAAGCCAAGACAGAAUCCCAGCUGACGUAAAGCACAAGGUUGAGAUGCGGGAACGAAAUGUGGCUGAGGGCCGAUCAUCUGUGAAAGCCUGUAAACCUUCACAGGGCAGCUUGGACCGCAGAACGUUGGAGAGCGAUGGCGUACUCUCGGAAAUCAAUUCAAAAUCAUCCAAAAUGGAGAAAAUUCAACAGAAAAGGGAAAAACCA